GUGCACGCUGGCGGUAGGCCUAACACAUGCAAGUCGAACGGCAGCACAGUAAGAGCUUGCUCUUACGAGUGGCGAGUGGCGGACGGGUGAGGAAUACAUCGGAAUCUACUUUUUCGUGGGGGAUAACGUAGGGAAACUUACGCUAAUACCGCAUACGACCUACGGGUGAAAGCAGGGGAUCUUCGGACCUUGCGCGAUUGAAUGAGCCGAUGUCGGAUUAGCUAGUUGGCGGGGUAAAGGCCCACCAAGGCGACGAUCCGUAGCUGGUCUGAGAGGAUGAUCAGCCACACUGGAACUGAGACACGGUCCAGACUCCUACGGGAGGCAGCAGUGGGGAAUAUUGGACAAUGGGCGCAAGCCUGAUCCAGCCAUACCGCGUGGGUGAAGAAGGCCUUCGGGUUGUAAAGCCCUUUUGUUGGGAAAGAAAAGCAGCAGGUUAAUACCCCGCUGUUCUGACGGUACCCAAAGAAUAAGCACCGGCUAACUUCGUG
rnacentral:rRNA from 1 species